rnacentral:rRNA from 1 species
AGCCUGCCGCGUGUAUGAAGAAGGCCUUCGGGUUGUAAAGUACUUUCAGCGGGGAGGAAGGCGAUGUGGUUAAUAACCUCGUCGAUUGACGUUACCCGCAGAAGAAGCACCGGCUAACUCCGUGCCAGCAGCCGCGGUAAUACGGAGGGUGCAAGCGUUAAUCGGAAUUACUGGGCGUAAAGCGCACGCAGGCGGUCUGUCAAGUCGGAUGUGAAAUCCCCGGGCUCAACCUGGGAACUGCAUUCGAAACUGGCAGGCUUGAGUCUCGUAGAGGGGGGUAGAAUUCCAGGUGUAGCGGUGAAAUGCGUAGAGAUCUGGAGGAA